CAGUCGCCGCGGUAAUACGUAGGUGGCAAGCGUUGUCCGGAAUUAUUGGGCGUAAAGGGCUCGCAGGCGGUUUCUUAAGUCUGAUGUGAAAGCCCCCGGCUCAACCGGGGAGGGUCAUUGGAAACUGGGAAACUUGAGUGCAGAAGAGGAGAGUGGAAUUCCACGUGUAGCGGUGAAGUGCGUAGAGAUGUGGAGGAACUCCAGUGGCGAAGGCGACUCUCUGGUCUGUAACUGACGCUGAGGAGCGAAAGCGUGGGGAGCAAACAGGAUUAGAUACCCGGGUAGUCCCUGUCUCUUAUAC
rnacentral:rRNA from 1 species